GUCCCCCCCGCGCGGCUCUCCGGGCUGCGUGCUCGCGGAGCCCGGGCCCUCGGCCUGCUCGGAAGUUGUGCGCGUGAGAGCCCGGCCGCUCGACGUCGGAGGGCUGGUGACCCGCUUAGCACAGCCCUCGGAGGGUGCCAGAGGGCCGCGGAUGCGUAAAUUAAUAAUCGAGACCUGGGUGUAGGCAACAAAACUCGUUGGAGUCUUAUUCAUAGACUUAGAUCCGCCGGGGCUGGCUGAAGAAGCUUCACGCUGGGCGGAAAGGCCUCCCCCCGGCCCCCUUCCCUGGUCUGAAAUAGUUAAAAAUGGGGCAGAAUUAGUGAGUGAUUCCGACGACUUAGGCUGAGUCUGUCGUCCAAAACCCCUGGAUGAUGUGAAUCUUGGUAAUCUAGGUGCAGUACUUGAGCGCCAGCGCCAUUUGUUAGUUGAAUUCGGCCCAGGUUGUCAGGAAAUACACCCUUUAUAACAUUGUUUUCGCUCUCGAGUUAAAAGAUUAGGACCGUGUAUUAAUAACUCUCUUAACCUCCAGGUAGAAACUGUUACCCAUUUCACAGAUGAGGAGACUGAGCGGUGACUCGUCCAAGGUCACACAGCUGGGACUCCUGAAGCCGGGAGUCCAGCCAGCCGGGGCUCUUAAUCUCGAACUUACAACUCGUUAUUAGAAGUACUGGCACAUUUUGGAGUUAUUUGGUUGUAAUGAUUUAGGGUUGUAUCCACCUAUAGUGUUGGCGUGGAAUUAACUUUUGUGGUUUGCAGAAGCAGAAAGGAGAGAAUGAAGCGAGGCCCUCUUAAUGAAACUAAUUUGUUAGCUUCCCCCCACCCCCCAACUCUGAAGAAAACUGUGUAGACACUUUUUGAAUGGAAGGAAUUAAAAAGUAGUCUGUUCUGCUGUUUGGUUCCUCACACUUAAUUAUAGUCAUCACUUAAGUAUUGAUGAGUCAUAAGCAAGUUUUGUGCAAAGUUAUUUUUGGUUAUUUUUUAUCUUUGGAUACUUAGAUUUUCCCUGGGAGUCCUUACACAUUACAUAUACUAAGUAUUUAAUAAUGGAUAUACUAAUACUUUGAUUUGGGGGGCUUUUAAAUAAUUCAGUGGAGUUACCUUUAGCUUUGUAAAUUUCCCACAUCUUGAUUAGUUACUUUAAGGAUAAUUUUUUUUUCUGAUAUAAAUAUGAGACUAGAACUAAAAUUUCAUGUGGUAAGAUUUUAAACUGAAGAAGAUAGUUUAAAGGAAACAGUUAUAAAAAAAGUUUACUCAAGUUGUGUUAAGAUUUUUAAUAGACGUUGGACUUACACUUAAAGUACCCCAUUGGUUUUGGAGGAUUUGCUUAUGGUGGCUGUCCAAAUUCAUUUAGACUUCAAACCUUGCCAAAAUGUUAAGGAGUUCUGUCGGUGUCUACACCAAAUUGUAAAACUGAGUACAGAAACUUCUAAGAGGCAUAAGCUCAGAAAUUAAGUCUCCUAGAAAGAAGAAUCUCUUCUCUUUCUGGUGGAGGCUUUGCUUUGAAAUCUAAAAAAGAUUAAGGGUUUGAGUAGAAUUGAGUGAAGUGAAUGGUCAUUAUUGGUAGGGGUGGGAGAUAGACUGUGAAAUCUAGUGAGAUCUUUGUUUUUGUUCAGAAUAUGGAAUUUAGGUUUAAAUUUAGGAUCUUAAAUUUCUUUUAAAGAUGUUUUGGUGGGACUUACUGGAAAUGUCACACACAUACAUAACUGUGUCCUAGGGAUUCAGACAUUUAGUCCAGCCUUUUAAGGUCGCCAACAUUCAAAAUAAAUGAAAAUAUUCCAUUGUAAUGCAGUGUCUUGUUUGGGAAUGUAGAUUAAAAAAAAAAAGGCAAACACAACCUUGGAUUAGAAUUUUUUCCCCCACUAAAAUAUUGUCUGAUGUCUGCCCCUGAGUUUUAUUUAUGGGGAGUUUUUGUGUUUAUGGUUUAGAGAUGUGGGAGUGGGGAGUGGUAAGUGCAGCAGCUGGUAUUUAAAGAAUUUACAUAGGUUUUUAUAGCCCCACGAUUAUCUGUAAAAGCUAAAUUGAAGAUAACUUGUUAUAAUGCAUGACUGGUGUGUGUCAAAUUUUCUUUGCUUUAGCAUUUGCUUUCUCUUGUUUCAAAGAACUUUCACAAUUCUUACACCCACACCCCCACACCCAAGCAGUUUCUCUUUUCAUCCGCCUGAGAAAAGACUUUAAACAUGUGAACUCAACAGAACCCCCAAACUUCCAGAGUGUUUAUGAAGAGAUUGACUCUUCUCUCCCCAAAAUUCUACUAGUCUUAGAAUUUUGUUGUAUUCCUAUCAGUAAUUUAAACUGUGAGCUAAGAAUCGCUAGUUCUGUUGAGUUUUUUGGUGGUUUUACCUCCAGAUACUUGUGUGUAUUUUCUCUUUAGAAGUAAAGAUACUUCUUGAAACUAUCAAACAUGGGCCCCUGAAACUUGACACUAACACACUAACAUUGCCCAAAGUGAAACUUGUGACUUGAUUACUUUUGUAUGAGCACCUUACAUAUACUCAGUGGUUAGGCUUUUUAAAAGACUUCUUACUAUGUAUUAUUUUGGCCACUGGGCAAUGUUUUGAUGGUUAGAGAAAUUAUGAUAAUUCAUAACCCAAAGCUGGCACAGUUUUGGAAUAAAAUUUUGGGGAGGGGAGGUUAUAAUUUGUGUUUUAAUUACUUGGGAAAAUAAUACAAUUACUUUAAAUUACCUAAAGUUUUUCCCCAGUUGCUCCUAAAUAAAGAAAUCAUUCAAAAUCUUGCCUUAUAUCAGUGUUAUAAUGUAAAGCUAGAGCUGUAAAGUUUACCAUUGGUUAUGUGAAUGUGAAAUGUUGACUUCACAUGACUAAAGUCAUUAAUUUAAGGUUCUUAUUAGAUAAUUACAGACAGGUCUCAUCUUCUAACCUAGUGGCUGCUGGUCUUAGUUUCAUUUUUUGGUAUAUGAAAACAAAAUGACUUGGAAACACAGCAUUGUAUAAACCAGCCAGACGUUUGAAAUAAGUUAUGCUUUUACUUUGAAAACCUUCUUCCAGAGUUGCAUAGUGAGAUAGAAUUCCUCAUUGGAGAUAACUUAUAGUACACUGAACAUGUAAAAUAAUGUGGUUCCUUGUAGGCAUACAUUUUGCUGAUAUAGAACCAUUUAGGCUACUUAGCAAUUGAUUUUUCUCCCAGAGCUAUGCACCCUCUCUUCUAGAAGGUGAAUUUUUAAAGUUUGUAAUACUGUGAAAGUUUUGCUUGUUUUAAUUUUUUACUGUUUGAUGGACAUGUGCCCAUAUCUGAUAUGUGAUGCAUAACAGUUUAAAAUGUAUCUAUACUCUUGAUGAGUUAUUUUUCAUUUUAUUGCCCUAUAAUUUAAUUGUUUAAGUUGCUUUUGCAGAGAGGUGCUUAGUGAAAUGGUUUAACAUGGAAUGAAACUGGUGUUAGCAUCAAUUCUAUUUUAAAUAACAUCCCUGUUCAUUAAAUAGUUCUCUUUGUUUCUCUCUAUAAAAUUUUUACCGACAAGAGUUGAUUUUUUGUUUGGUUUUGUUUUCUGGAUAUUUGUGGUUAAGGUUGGCAUUUUAGCACAUACAUUUGGGUAAGGAGAUGCUCAAACGUGAGAUCUACUCCAGAUCUGCUUAUUACAGAGGUAGAGAGCGGCUGAGGAAGCAUGGUAACUGGAGAGUGUGUUGGCCAGUGAGGCGGUACCAGGCAGAGCCACCAGAGUCAGGCAGGUCUGGAACCUGAACCAGUCCCGCCCCUCACGGGCAGUGUGGACCUAAGGCACAGUGGUUUUGCUUCAUAUCAAUUUCUUUAUCUGUAAGAUGGGUUGAUGAUCCUUACCAUGGGGUGCUUGUGAAGACUGAGAUAACAGACAUACAUUUCUUAAUUGUCUUCUCCCUUUCUCUUCAGUGAUAGCCAUCCUUACGGUCUCAACAUAAAUGCUACUUUCCCCAACCUUGGUUUUAAGUAUGAUUCCUUGGCCGUGUGUUCUUACCAAUGGCUUUUUUUUUUGACAGCGCUGAGUAAAAAUAACCAUAGGUAUGCAUAUGUAUGGCUUCUGUGGUAGCUCAGUUGCUAAAGAAUCUGCCUGCAAUGCAGGAGACCCAGGUUUGAUCCCUGGGUUGCGAAGAUCCUCUGGAGGAAGGCAUGGCAACCCGCUGCAGAAUCCUUGCCUGGAGAAUUCCAUGGACAGAGGAGCCUGGGGGGCUACAAUCCAUGGUGUCGCAAAGAGGCGGACACGACUGAGCGACUGAGCACUGCGCAGGGUGCAUAUGUACAUGUAUUCUUUUACUGUCUGUCUCUGCCUCGUGCCGUUAAACUGUGAGGUCUGUCUGGGCAGGAGUAUCCGUACCUCCAGGGCCUGUAGCGCCCGUGCUGGGCACAGAGCAGGAGUGGACGGAUAUGCGUGUGCACAGAGGGAUGGUGAGGAACCUGUGUGCUGAAGCCCAAGCCUGAGCGCCGCUCGUUGCUUGCGCAGUCGUGGGCAGAGUAGCUUCAGAGCUUUAGAAUCCUGUAUGCCGACCGUGCGUAAGCCCUAGCUGCCCUUGCCAGGAUUUGAAAAAUGUGAAAUGAGAUCUCUAAUGAGAUGCUUUGCAAAAGUGUAAAAUGCCGUAUAAAUGUAAGUUGGUACAGUAGCAAUAAUUUCAGUAGUGAGGCUACCCAAGAAUUUAUAAUUAGAGUUUCAACUUUACUGAGUUGGUAAGUAGCUAUUAUGUAAUAUUUAUUAGUAACUUAAACUUUCUGUAUGCAUUAGUUAGAACACAAGAUUGGGCCCAUGUUUUGACUACAGUGGCUUACAAGCUGAAUCUCUUUCUCUCUCAUGUAAGUCGUCUAAGGCUGAUGUGGCAGCUCCAGGAUACAGGGGACCUUGGGUCCUUCUGACUUGUUGCUUUCCUGUGUAUAACGGGAUCCCAUGGCCCCCACAGUUCAAGACAGCUUGCCACCUCAUUCACGGUCCAGGAACAGGAUGGGGGAGAGAACAACCCUUCUUUAAAGACGAACCUGGAAAUUGCAUACGUGACUUGUUCACACCUGUUGGUCGGAACUUCGUCAGGUGGCCCCAUGUAGCUGCAAAGGAGGCUGGGAUAUAUGGUCAUCAGUAGGGUGGCUGAUCGUCUGCCUGAAAAAUCUGUUUUUACUGAUGAAUAGGAGAAUGGGGGAUUAUGAAGCAUUGCCUGUCACUCUUUCAGAUGUUUUGGAAGAAACUUAACAGAGAUGAACUUUGGAAAGACAACUUAUUGCACUAAUUAAUGUUUAUAUUCCGUAUUUGCUCACUAAUCAUUUGGACUAUGGUGUGUAAAUUGAAAUAGAUUGUCAGUACUUAGUAUAUGCAGUAUAUACAUAUGUAGUCAGAUUAGAGUUAAUGUAACUAAACUUAUAAUAGUGAUGGAAUUUGGAGUCUCAUAUUACAUUAUUUUAUUGAAGGUAUUUUCUGAUAGAAACAUAAUUCUCGAUUGCUGUAACUGUUAUACGUAAACAGUAUUUGAAGCCUAGGCCUUUGGGUUUCGUUUUAGCAGUCCCGUGGACCAUUUUGUGUGUAUUUGUGUACAUAACCUCAGCAAGCAAUACUAGGAGAGUCUGAUUCAGUAUUGCAGGAUCUUGUCAGGUUUUCAGUAAGUGUUUGGGUCACUGAAGUUGUAACGAUCAUAGCAGUGAUAUUUAAACAUUUACUGUCCAAUGUCUUGCUCUUUUUUUCCUGUGGGUUUGACAGAAGACGAAGGUCUAGGAUUCCUUUGAACUAGCCUAUAAUUAGGUCAAGUAGAGACCUGAGGAACUAAUGAGCCUCAGAUAGUUUUCAGGAGAACUUGUCAGAGUUGUGGGACUCCCCCGCCCCAGACUUGCCUUUCUGAAGGUUUGAGUGAUGCACUGGACUCCACUGUCUUGAUUGGGACUGCAAGUAUCCCUGAUGCAGUAGAAACAUUUUGAGAAACAUUGACAUAGUUCAUUUCUCAUCUUAGAGGAGGAAAUGGAUGCAAAGAAAUGAAAUGACUAACCAGUGCCUCGGAGUAAGCAGGUCGGGGGUGGGGGCUAGCGCAUGUUUUCCCGACUCUUGGGUCGUUGUUCUUUCCCCAGAAGAGAGGAAGGAGAAGAGCACAACUGCAUUUGUUAUUUUAUAGGAAGAUCUGUCAUUCCAAUGUGUUGCUAUUUAUGUGUGAGCUCAUUGCUAUUGAAUGGUUGGCUCACUUCACUGUCUUCUGAGCCUCUUAGAAAAAUACUGUGAGUUGGUCCAAUAAAUAUUUAAAGGUGGAAAGUUGAGGUUUUAAGUCACGUAUCAUUAGUGUUGGUGCGUUAGGGUAGAUGAAAGGGAGGUGUGGGUUUGGCAUGUUCAGAAGGAGCAAAGGCAGGCCAUGUCCUAAGAUCAUUCGUUUCCUUUUCAGCUGAUUCGCUUGCCAGUCUCACUGUGGAAUUCAUACUGUAGAUUAAGGCAAGAGCUGGAUCCCCUAAUUUAAAAUGGAAAUAUUCCUAGGGAAAUAGCCUUCAUCUGUUAGCAGGUUAACACUUCAUCAAUUAGCUGUUGUCAUUUUAAACGUUGGAGAUGAGCACCCACACUAAUAAAAGAGCUUUUGGGAAGAGGAGGGAGGGUUAGGGCACAGUGCCCUUGUCCAAGGAGAAUGACGGGCCUGUUUGAGAAGUGUCUGCUUGUGGUGUGGCCCUUGCAUGGUGCUCAGAGGCUUCUCUGGUGGCCGAGGUUGGUAGCGUUGGGCUGGCCCUUGCUGGCCGGUCAGGGUUGGUCUUGGGACCGUAGAUAAUUUGUUGAGGCCCUCUGGGCUUGAUUGAACACGUGGUCAUUGGAGUAGGAGUGUCCUCUUAGCGCUUUAUUAUCUGUUUAGGACUCCUGUUUGAGCAGGCUUAUAUCAGACUUCAAAGGUAUCAUUUUGAUCUGGGGAAUUUUAGUUUUUAAAGAUCAACAAGUUUAUUUUUAUGAUUAAAAAAUGCAGCCCUAUAGAAUGAAUGGUGUCACCCACUUCCAGCCCUCCCCGCUUGUUCUCCAUAAAUAACAGCUAGUUUUUCCUACCAGAAAUGUUCUAGACGUAUAUAUGUAAACACGUAUAUACAUGUGGGUUACAAAACAUGGGGCAGCAGAGGAUGAGAUGGUUGGAUGGCAUCACUGACUCAAUGAGCUUAGAUUUGAGUAAAUUUCGGGAGAUGGUGGAGGACAAAGAAGCCUGGUGUGCUGCAGAUCAUGGGUUUGCAAAGAGUGAGCAACUGAACAACAACAAGUGACAAAACCGUCCGUAUGUUUAGUGUGAUCCCGAUUUUUUUUUUUGAAGUGUGACAUUGUGUAUGUGUACAGUCUUUGUACUUAAAAAACAAAUGGGGUCUUGCUAAGCAUGCGGUUUUGCAACUUAAAUGUCUUGCUCUGUCUUGGAAAUACUCCUGUGUCAGGUGGCAGAGUUUCCCUGUGUGUUCUUUUUUAAACAGUUGGGAAGUAUUUGAUGUUAUGGAUGCAACACAAUUGAGUCAGUCUCCAUUAGAGAGAAUUUAAACCCCCCCCCCCCCCAUUUUUAGAAGUUAAAAAAAAAUAUAUUUUGUUUAGUUUUGGCUGCACUGGGUCUUGGUUGCAGCUUGCAGACUUUCUCUCUUUGCAGGGGCUAUUCUUCGUUGCUCCAAGGCACAUGAAAUCUUCCUGGCCCAGGGACUGAACCCAUGUCCCCUGCAUUGGCAGGUGGAUUCUUAACCACUAGACCCCCAGGGAAGCCCAUACUUUUGCUAUUUUUAAAUAAUGCUGCAGCAUAUAUCCUUGUACAUGUAACAUUUUUUGUCAGCAUUAGCCAGAGGAUACAUAUUUAUAAGAGAAAUUGCUUGUUUACCAGGUAUAUGUACAUAUGAGUAUGUUUUGCCAACUGUCUUCCAAAAAGUAGCACCAAUUUAUACUUCAGUAGCAGUGUCUAAGAGUGUGUAGUUUCCCAAAUCUCAAAAACACUGGCAUUAUUCAAGUUUUAAAUCUUUUGUCAAUUUGAUAGGUGAAUGGUGCAGUCUAGUUGUUUGAAUUUGUACUUCCGAUGAGAGAAUUUGAGCAUCUUAUGGUGUACUAUAAGUCUUACACUUUAAGAAAAUAUUCACUCUUUGGUAUUUAAUUAGAAUUGUUUUGUGAUGUUUCUGUAUUCUGUUGAAUGAAAAAUGAUGUUCUUGUAAAUACUUUGAUAAAUUGUAAAAGGUGAGUCUUGUUCCUCUUCAACUGAGGAUACUUUUGCCUGUCCUCUGUAUGUGAAUUGUGAUGGUAGAAACUUUCACCACAAAAAUGAGUAAGGUUUGGUGACCUCAGCUGUUAAGUUUUGAAAUAGUUGUGUGUAUACCAGCAAAACAGGACAAAGAAGACCAUGACUGCUAACAGUUAGUGGAUUCUUAACCACUAGGCCACCAGGGACGUCCUGACACAGGACUCCAGGUUUUGGAGAUAGAAAGGAGAGGAUUCAACUUUGGUGGCAGUAUAGUAAAGCUCUUGAGGAGUCGAAUGAUUGGCUUGAUGGGAACAGUUGAAAAUAUUUCCUAGUAAGGUCCUGAAGGAACAGUGGAAGAACAGAAGAGAGGAUUACUGUGGUUCAGUCCUUCUACUAGUGACAGGUGCAAAUAACUUGUUGUUGUUCAUUUGCUUGGUGCUGUCCAACUCUUUGUGACCCGGUGGACUGCAGCACACCAGGCCUCCCUGUCCAUCACCAAUUCCUGGAGUUUACCCAGACUCAUGUCCAUUGAGUUGGAAAUGCCAUCCAACCACCUUAUCCUCUGUCGUCUCCUCCUCCUGCCUUCAAUCUUUCCCAGCAUCAGGGUCUUUUCCAAUGAGUCAGUUCUUCGCAUCAGGUGGCCGAAGUAUUGAAGUUUCAGCUUCAACAUCAGUCCUUCCAAUGAAUAUUCAGGGCUCCUUCAGAAUGGACUGGUUGGAUCUCCUUGCUGUCCAAGGGACUCUCAAGAGUCUUCUCCAACACUGCAGUUCAAAAGCAUCAGUUCUUUGACUCUCAGCUUUCUUUAUGGUCCAAGUCUCAGAUCCAUACAUGACUCCUGGAAAAACCAUAGCUUUGACUAGACGGGCCUUUGUUGACAGGUAGAAAUAAUGUAGCGCCAUUAAAAAUGAGCUACAAAAUGGGGCAGUGGAGGAAGGCAGCGUUGGCAGUGGUGAUCCUGGAGAGGAAACGGUGUCCCAGCUCACGGGCUGAGAUGUGUGGAGUAGUUAAACGUGUGUGUUCAAUUUAUUCUGAGUAGCUUGGUAUUUUCCUGAAAAAUACCACAUUUAUUCUGUUACUUUUGCAUAUGUUCUUAUUGGGAAACGAGUCAUCUAAAAAUCAUUUAUCUUGUGAGGUGGAUAGAGCUAUUACUGAGUGCCUGUUGGGCACCACACGUGACCCUAGGGCGGGGGGUCACUGCCCGCGCUGUGUGCGCUGGGGCGCGGUCAGCUCUCACGGCAGGUUAUGGGCUCAGUCUAGGGCAGACAGGCAUUUUCAUUAAAGGCAGCACAGUCUAUGAAACGGAAUGUGAUUCACUGGUGCUUUUUGAAGGUCAAAAAUUUUGUCUACUUUUAAAAGACCCUUUGACAGUUUAAGUUUAACUUUAUUUGGUAUAAGUAGGACUCCUGUCUUAAAGACAAAUACUGUCUGCUGAAAAAUUUGUUCUUAUUUGAUCAUUUUCCCUUGAAAAAGAACAGUUAUCACUGCAGUGGUGUGUUUUGCUUCAUCUUUACAUCAAACACAUUCAUUUUUGGUGCACAUCACUUCUGUGGCACAAAAUACUGUUUCAUUAGAGUUUUCCAAAACAGCAAUGGUAGUAAAAUUAUUAGGAUCUCAGAAUAUUUUGCAAUCUAAUUUCACUUCUUGAAUUUCCCUAUAAUGGUUCUGUGGUAGGGUUCAAAAUGUCAGGAGAACUAGGUAAACUUACCUAGGAAUUGGCCUGAAGGCCCAUCGUUACUCAGCAGUAUUGGAAUCAGCUAUGCGAAGGGGAGAAUUUGAAGACAAGUUUUAGGAUGCAUGGGAUAUGUUUGAAAGAAGGCUAUUUGCUGAAUAAGAUACAGACAUUUGAAAUAAAGGAUGUGGGCAUAUAGGAAAGGUCAAGAAAUGAAACUCAAUAGAAUGGAUAGGAAUGAAAGAGCAAAUGGAUGAGCAAGAAUUCUUAGUACUUAAAUCCGUCCCAGCAAAACCUCUUCAGUAAUUUGUUGUGACUUCCAGGAUGAAGAUCACACUCAGGACUCAACUGUCUGGAUGACCUGGCUCCAGCUGAUUUAGGUGGUCUUGUCUCCCGUGCCUUGGGAUUCAUGUCUUUGGAUGUCUGCUUCUGGGCCAGCCAUCACCCCUUUUCUUUUCGUUAACUUCUUUUUCUCCUUCAUUUUCAAUUCAGUUAUCACUCUUGUCAGGUAAAGCAGACCCCCGCCCCAGUCACCUCUUCUUUUUUAAUAACUCAUGUUUUCCUGUCCUUUUCUUUCACACGUUUAUCACAGUUGGUAGUUUUUUUUUAGUGCUUGUUGUAUUCAUCCCCUCCAGAGAGCAGGGGCCGUGGUGUUUUGCACACCUCUCCCGCCUGCCGCCCCCGCCCCCGCCAUCGAAGGCAUCAGCAAGUCUUUGCCAUAUAUGGCGAGUCCUGAAACAGUGAGCUGCGUUUUGAUGCUGGUCUCAAGGACUGAAUGAUUGCAUAAGGGGGCUGUGCAUUUGGAGUAAGAGCUGAACAGGGCAUGUAGGAGCCCUAAAAAAAAGUGACCCUUUUAAAGAUUAGAUUGGAAAAGUAUGUAGCCGGUAAGAAGGCCAAGUCACUCAGGGAUUAGUGUAACAAGUGUGUGUGGAGUAGCAACACCUACUAGCUCUUAGAAACUUGGCAUUGUAUGAUGGAGUGGAAGGGUGGUGCCCUCUUUAUUAAAGGAGUACAUAAUUUUAGUAGUUUAUUGAAGUAGAUACAGUCCUUAGUGUUCAUUUGGAGUUUUAUAUUGUGGAGGGAACCAGCCUGGCUCUUCUUUAUAAUUUUUAGCCAGCAAAGUGCGGUUCAUUCAACAGUUACAUCUGGAAAGUCAGUCCAGCACCAGCAGUAGGUGUCGGGUUCACAUUUAAAAUAAGUUCUAGCUUUGAUGUCAUUUAAAAAGUGAUGGAAAGGUAAAGAAAGUUGUUUGUUUGGAUACUUUUUGGCUUUACUUUGCCUUCACAGAACAAGAAUGAUUGAGGGAAAGUUUAUUGUAUGGAUGGAUUUUCAAAAGAAUUGACUCUUGUAGUUAGGAAACUGUUGAGGCUUGUCAGGUGAAUCAUCUUUUUAAAAGCUUAAAAGGGAUUUGUUUUAAAGUAGUUCUGAAAUCUUUCUCAGUGACUAGUUUCUGUAGUAAAUAUUUAGAAAAGCAAAUAUUCAGAUUUUAUUUUUUUGGCUCUUCGCCUGGGCCCAUGCCAGUCCCUUGGGACAUAGCUGUGACUCACAUGGACGUACAUGGUACCUGCCCUCUUGAAGCUCUUCAAUAGUUAGAUUGAGUUAGAGCUCAUUCAAGAGAACGCUAAUAAAAGAAAACAUGGCUUGUUGCUUCCAUCCAGCCAGCCAUCCCAUUGUCCAUCUAUUUAUGUAUUCCUUCAACUUAGUUUUGGUGGCAACAUGUCUUUAAGCUUCUUGUUGCUUUAUUUCUGGUAACAUAGGGACUAAUCUGCAAUGCAGGGAAGUAAAUUUGCUUAAGAUUAAUCAUAGUAUUUAAUAAAAAACCCAGUGAACAGUUAAAGGCCCUGAAGUUAAACAUUGAGAGAGAAAAGAAGAAGGAACAUAGGACUUCUAUAACCUGUUACUUGAGAUAGAUGAAAGUUCUGGUACACUGAUGGCUGGACGGCAUCACUGAUGCAGUGAACAUGAACUUGGGCAAACUCCCAGAGAUGGUGAGGGACAGGGAGGCCUGGUGUGCUGCAGUCCGCGGGGUCGCGAAGAGUUGGACAUGACUGGGUGACUGAACAGCAACAGCAAGCUGGGACUCAGGAGGAUAAUGAUUAUAAUUCCAAUGCAGAAUAGAAACUCAGAUCUUCCACUUGUUGACAUUGACAGACUUUUAAAAAAAGAUGUUCAUGUAAGCCAGUGAGUUUCUCCUAUUAAAAAGUAAGCUACUGUUUGAUGGUAACAGGUCAGUUCAGUCACUUAGUCGUGUCUGCCUCUUUGUGGCCCUAUGGACUGCAGCACGCCAGGCCUCCCUGUCCAUCUCCAGCUCCCGGAGUUUACUCAGACUCAUGUCCAUUGAGUUGGUGAUGCCAUCCAACCAUCUCAUUCUCUGUUGUCCCCUUCUCCUCCUGCCCUCAAUCUUUUCCAGCAUCAGGGUCUUUUCCAGUGAGUCAGCUCUUCGCAUCAGGUGGCCGAAGUACUGGAGUUUCAGCUUCAGCAUCAUUUCUUCCAGUGAAUAUUCAGGACUGAUUUCCUUUAGGAUGGGUGGAUCUCCUUGCUGUCCAAGGGACUCUGAAGAGUCUUCUCCAGCACCACAGUUCCAAAGCAUCAAUUCUUCAGUGCUCAGUUUUCUUUAGUCAGACUCUCACAUCCAUACAUGACUACCACAAUAGUAGCUACUAUUAAUUGAUUGCCUGCUAUGGGCCAUACACUAUACAGAUUCAUUAUCAGUUAUUUUAAUAUUAGCACUAGCACUGGAAGGUGGUUGGUAAUAUCUGUUUAUAAGUUAAAAAACUGCGGUGCAGGGAGAUAAAUUUGCUUAAGGUUAAUCAUAGUAUUUUGCAUAUGCUGCUUCUAGAUAAUAAAAAACGCAGUGAACAGUUAAAGGCCCUAAAGUUAAAUGAACGUUUAGAGAGAAAAGAAGAAGGAACGUAGAGCUUCUGUGACUUGUUAAUUGGAGAGCUAGAUAAAAGUUGUGGUAUGCUGGGAUUCAUACUUUGUGCCUCUAGUUCAUGAGUGUUUAAGAUGAUAAACCAGAACAUCUGAUAGCUUUCUACAUUUACGGAAUUCUUUACCUUAAGAAUCUCGGUGAGAGGGAGGUAGACGUCUUCCAUUGUGAAAGGCAGUUGCUCACUUUCUCUGCAUUUUUGGGACUUAGAAUGCCCUCAUAUGACCUGGGGCCUCCAUUCCAGCACCUCAGAAGCGGUGAUUUGCAGAAGCAGGCCCUAGCGGAGUCCAUGUCCGCAUAGGAGGAGGAUGGCCGUGGUGUCUCUUCUGGAGGCCGUCAGUGACAGAUCAAGUCCUGGCACUUCGUUCCGGUGUCCGUGGUGUCUCUGCAAGUCACAGGGACCGAAUCCUGUGUUGUCUCCACUGGACCACAUCUGUGGUUUGCUGUUUGGGUGUUCUUAACUAUACGGCCUUCCAGCCUGGCCCUCCUGGGGUUUUCUGUGAGUUGCCUAAUAUGCUUUAAUAACUUCCUUUUCAGUUUCAACAAAGCCAGAGUUAGUUUCUUUUGUUUGCAGCUAGAACCUUUACUGAGAUGGUGCCAGUUUCGAUAAUAGACGAUUUGAAGGAACUCUCUAGAGUCAGAGUCAUCUGUGUCUAGGUAAGAAUUUGCUGAGUAGAAGAGUUCACAGUAUGUAUUAAAUGAAAUACUCGUAAAACAUUUUGCGUAUUGAUUUAAUGAUUUUACUGAAUUCGAGUGCUUACUCUCAGCCAGGGUAUGUUCUAGGUGUUGGAUAUUCAGGGUGAUGGUGUAGGUAAGAUCCCUGUGCUCACAGAGCUUAUGUUCUCUUGUGAAGUGUAGAGUAAGCAAGGAAGCAACCAACAUACUGACCAGGAGUGAUCGAUAUUGUGAUAAAAGUAAAGAUGGGGUAAAAUGAUAAUGGGGCUUCCUUGAUGGUUCAGUGGGUCAAGAAUCUUGUCUGCAAUGCAGGAGACACAGGAGAUGCAGGUUGUAUCCCGGGGUCGGGAAGGUGCCCUGGAGGAGGAACUGGCAACCUGCUCCAGUAUUCUCGCCUGGAGAAUUCCAUGAACUAGAGGAGCCUGAUGGGCUACAUACAGUCCAGGGGGUCGCAAAAGUUGGACACAGCUGAGCGACUAACACGUUCUAAGUUAUAAUGAUGUAUGUGUGUAUGUUUAGGGAUUGCAUCUGAUAAAACAUUUACUUAAAAAUUACUGUCAGAAGUCUUGACUUCUGCUUUUUACUGUGGGGCAGUAACUUUCUGAAGUUAUCCUCCCAGCAUAAACAGCUAGGAAGCUGGACAAAACACAUGGAACAACUGGUUUUGGAUAGUAAACAAUAGGCAGUUCAGAACUGUGAUGCCUAACAGAUGGGAAACAGACGUGGUGAGUCCUGUGAUGGUCCAGCUUUCUGCCUGGAGGCAGCCUUCAGAUUUCAUUGCGGGGAUGUGCAUGUGUUCUCAGAAGCGUCUGACUCUCUGCGACCCCGUGGACCAUAUCCUCCCAGGCUCCUCUGUCCAUGGGAUUUCCUGGCAAGAAUACUGGAGUGGGUUGCCAUUUCUUCCUCCAGGGGAUUUCCCGACCCAGGGACCCAACCCGCAUCCACUGCGUUGGCAGGUGGAUUCUUCACCACUGAGCCACCGAAGGAGACCCCAGAGAAAGGCCGCAAGUUGAGGAAAGAGAGCCUGGAGUUGAGGAAGGCCAGAAUGGUUCUGAUGGGAGGAGCAGAGUUCUGAAAGAAGGCAGGCAUGCAGGGAAAGAGUUCCAUAAUCUUCGUGAUCACCGUGAAUGUUGACUGAAGGCUGGUCUGUGGGACUGCAGGUACAGAGGACUGGCUGUGAGUUUAUACUUGGAGAUUUGACUCUCCGGGGUGGGGUGGGGGGUCAGCACUUUUCACCUUUCUGUUGUUCAAGGGUCACCUGUAAUUUGAAAGGAAUGUAAUUGCUUGUCCUUACAGAGGCCAACACUCUUUAAAGAAAUGUAAAGAAAGCCAGCACUCAACAAUGUAAAAAUGUCCAGUAUCCAAUCAAAAAUUGCUGAAUGUGUGAAGAUGUAGGUUAAUGUGACUUAUAAUUGGGGUAUCAGUAAACUGAAACCAAUCUAGAAUUGACACGUUAGGAUUAAUGGGCAAGGACAUGAAAGCAGUUGCUGUAUUCCAUCUAUUCAAAAAGUUAGAAAUUAUGAAAGAUAUAAAAAGACCCACGUCAAACUUUUAGAGGCGACAGCUAAGAUGUGGAAUGAGAAAUACAUUGGAUGGCAUUAAUGGCAGAUUAGGCAUUCCAGAAGAGAGGAUUAGUAAACUUGAAGACAUAGAAAACUCAGUCAGUAGAAACAAAUGAUAGAGACAAUGGAAUUAGCAAACAAGGUUGUUAAAGUGGCUAUUAAAGUGGUUAUUAAAAUGCAGGGUCAAAUGUCAAUUCACUGUGUUGUACACCUGAAACUAAUAUAUUUCAUGUCAAAUAUACCUCAAUAAAAAAUAUAAGUAAAGCACAGGGUCAGAUUGUGGUUAACGUUGACAUUUUGGUACAUGAAUUUUUUCUAAAAAAGAGCAAAUUGUAACUGCUAACCUGAAGUUGGCUUGUUGUGUAGUUGAGAGUAGUUGAAAAUUAUUAUUUCGGCAAAGCACCAAGAUGUGGCAGAAGAACUUUACUGUGCAACAGUGUGCUCAUUUUUACUUGAUCUGUAACAGUAUUACCAUAAAGCUAGAAACGGAAAGCAUGCUUUUAUGGCCUCACAGUGUCUGUGGGUCAGAUAUACGGGCACAGCUUAGCUUAGUUGGGUCUCAGGACAGCGAUCAUAAGGUUGACGGUGCUGUGGUCUCACCUGAGGCUUCCCUGGGGAAAGGUCUCUGCUUGUUUGACGGGUGCCAGCGUUCAGCGCCCUCUGUGAUGGUGGACCGAGGGCUGCAGUUUCUUGCUGCCUGCUGGCAGGCACCCACCCUCAGUUCCUUGGGUUGUGGUCCUUUCCCAUCGUGGCCACUUAACUUGCUCCAAGACGGUGAAGGAGCGAGUCUGCACACUAGACAGCUGCGUGGUCUCCUGCCUCAUAACCACAGAAGCGCCAUGCCUUCCCCUUGCCUGUGCGCUCUUGGUUAACAGCAAGUCAUGGGUCUUGAAUCAAGGGAAGGGCCCGUGGAAGGGCCUGGCAGCAGAUGGCUGUGUGGUGGGAGCCACCUCAGAGUCUGUCCCUGCGGACGGUAGAGAGAGGUGGAGAGUGCGUUUCCUGGAGUCUGCGCCAGGCAUCUGGCUUUGAAUCCCAGCCCUGGAAGCAUCUCUGAGCCUCAGUUUCCCUGCGGGGAUAGUCUCUGCCUACUGUUGACAGUGUGUGAAAAGGGCGAAUGCUUGUCAUCAGUUAAAUUCUUUCUUUAUACUACUGUUCGUUAGUUCUCAAUAGAUGAGAUCUUCAGUCCUUUUUUGCUUCCUAUGAAUUUUUUAAAGUAUUUAUUCUUAGUUUUAACAUGCAAAUAAUCAAAAUUGAAUGUCUGCUGAAAGGCUUGUGAAGUAAAGCCUGUCCCUGGGAACAGCCCUCCUUACUCCUCCUAGUCCUGCCCCCUAGAGCUGUGCUUCCUGCUUUUGGAUGCUAGUGCUGAGACCACGACCCAAACUGGCUUCCGGGUAACUCACAGUUGGAAGUCCAGAGGUAGGGUGGAUUCUUCAGCUAAUUGGUUUUGUGGCUUCCCUGUGGCUCAUACGGUAAAGCGUCUGCCUACAGUGUGGGUAGACCCGGGUUUGAUCCCUGGGUCAGGAAGAUCUCCUGGAGAAGGAAAUGGCAACCCACUCCAGUACUCUUGCCUGGAAAAUUCCAUGGAUGGAGGAGCCUGGUAGGCUACAGUCCAUGGGGUCGCAAAGAGUUGGACACGACUGAGUGACUUCAUUGUCAAUGUCAGUGACUUCAGGGUCCUGAGUUUCCGUCUCCCCUUUGAGUCUUUGGCCGGUUACAUCCUCAAUAAGAUGCCGGAGUUUCAGAGUAGUACCCAGGUACAACAGUGUCUAGAGAAGGAAAAUUAUCUUUCAUGUAGCUGUGUAAGGAUGUGGAAGCUUUGCUUAGAAGCACUGGCAGACCUGCCUCCUGGCUCACAGGCCUGUUUCUGAAACACUCACUAGAAAGGGAAAUGGAAUGACAUUUAGACCAGUCGGACACGUGCGUGGAACUGAGUGCUUUCCCUGAGCACGUGCCUAAAUGGGUGAGUGUGCAGAAGAGUUCUGGACAAAAUUGACUUAGGUUACAGCGGAAAAGGGGGAAAUUGGAGGCUGGGUGGGUAACUCUGACCCUACUCUGGUAUUUGACAUAAGCUUUAAGACGCUGUCUAUUGGUUUUCUGAAGUGUGUGUGCUCAGUCUUGUCUGACUGCGAACCCGUAAACUGUAGCUCGCCAGGCUCCUCUGUCGAUGGAAUUCUCUAGGCAAGAGUACUGGAGUGGGGGAGUGGGUGUCAUUGUUUUUAGACUGACGUCUUCCAUCUAUCCGUUGUAGUUACACGUAUGUUUUCGUAGAGUGUAUUCAGUGUAGUGUUAUGAUUAUGUAAGUCUUGCUCACUGUAGAGGCAAAUUGUAUACUGUGAUUACAUUUCCCUCCUUGUAUAAUUUUGUUUUUCCCGUUUUGUUUUCCUCCUGUGGUUUUGUUUUGCUUUGUUUUCUAGGUCCUCCUGUUAACUUUCCCCAUACCUUCUAAUAGCCUCUCUGUAUAGUUUUGCACAAAGAUUAGAUAAUUGCCCUAUGCCUCAUUCUCACCCACCCCACCCCCUUCCUUAAGGGCCCCUCCAUCAAACCACUCCUAUAUGGGAAUUAAAUGUUGUUGAUUAAAGUGCGGUUGAUUUACAGUAUUGUGUUUCUGCUGUAUCGCAGAGUGAGUCCAUUAUACAUACAUGUAUGUGCUCUCUUUUAGGGUCUUUUCCUAUGUAUGUCGUUGUUUAGCUGCCGAGUCGUGUCCGACUCUUUGCGACCCCAUGGACUGUAGCCCACCCAGCUCCUCGGUCCACGGGAUUUCCCAGGCAAGGAUACUGGAGUGGGUUGCUAUUUCCUCCUCCAACUUUUUUCUUUCAUUUUGUCAGCACAGCUUUUAGACUUCCCGAGAAAGAGUGCAUGAGAGGUUAGUUUUUUGAGACAUCAUCUGAAAGUGUCUUUAAUCUGAUUUCUUUCAGGAGUAAAAGUUUUGACUGGGUAUAGAAUUGCAGUUGGAAUGUAAUUUUUACUGAGAACUCUGAAUGAAUUGCUUUAUGCUUUUCUAGCUUCUUAUAGCAGAUAUAAUUUGUAUUCUCGGUUCCAAAAGUAUGGAAAAGUCAGAGGACAUAAUGCACUCUCAUGUAACCAUUACCCAUCUUCAGCAGUCGUCAGCUCAUGGCCACUUUUUAAAAAUUUAUAAUCCUGUCUGUCCUUCUUCCUUUUCAUUUCAUACCAGCAAACCCAGAUACAUAAUUUUACUUGCGAAUAUUUGUCUCUCUAAAAGAUAAGGGCUCGUUUGUGAACUAUAACCCUUGUAGUAAUAUCAUACCUUUAAAAGAUUAAAAAUAAUUCUUCAAAUAUCCAGUUUAAGUUCAAAUUACCUUGAUUGCCUCAUAAUUAUAUUUUAAAACAGUUUAUUCAAAUUAGAAUCUUAAGUAAGGUCCAUAAAUUGUCAGACUGACAAACCUCUGAAGUCUCUUUUAAUCUGUUGGUGUUAUUUUUUUCCCUUGAGUUUUAUUUGUUGAAGAAACUGUGUUCUCUGUCUUGAAGUUUUCUAUAGCCUCUGCAUUGCUGAGUGAAACCCUGUGGUGUCAUUGACGUGUCCCCGUCCCUUGCAGUGUAUUUCCUAUAUGUGGUAGUGAGAUCUAGAGACUUGAUAAGAUUCUGUGUGUGUGUGUGUGUGUGUUUUGAGAGGUGGUAAGUAGGGAGAAUACUACAUGGGUGGUAUGUUAUCUUUAGGAGGCAUAAAAUAUCUGACUCUGUGAUGCUAGUGACUACUAAAUAUUAAUGUGGAUCCAUUGAUUUAUUUGAGAUAUUGGUUCUUUUUAUGUGAACCCUCCCACUCCCCAGGAGUUUUGAGGAUCUGAUCUUCAUCUGUACUGUUCGGAAGUUUUGUAGUGUUGCCUUGAAUAUUUUUUGUUUAUUUUUUACCCGUAUUGGGAGAUAUUUUUCAACUUUUUAUUUUCCAUCAGGAUAUAUUUUUUAUGUUCUCUGCUCCCUACCCCGCCCCCCCCCCCCCCCGCCCUUGCCCUUUCUUUCUUUUCAUUAGUAUUUUGUUUUUACUUCAUGGUUUCACAUAUUCUUUUACCUCUUCAGGCACAUUCAUAUUAUGAUUAAUUGCCUUUUUUUUCCCCUUCAUGGCAUUGUCUCUGUUUCCUGCGGAUUCUUGUUUUUCUGCUUGCUUUGAUUUCUGUCUUUGAGUUUUGGCAGCUUUCCUCAAAUAUCUGGCCAUCCCUGGGCUGGUGGCUUGCGUUUAGGAGUAAGUGGUGAUAAAGCUGAAAAGAAGCUAUUUUCGUGGGUGAAGCUUGCUCACUGAAGGCAUAUUAGUGUGGUGCUUGAGGGACCUGUAAGCGUGAGUGCCCUUGUUUUACUCCAGGGCUCUUGUUGAUGAGUCGCUAAGGUGUGUCCGACUCGUUGCUACUCUGUGGACUGUAACCGACCAGGCUCCUCUGUCCAUGGGAUUUCCCAGGCAAGAGUACUGGAGUAGGGUGCCGGUUCCUUCUUCAAGGGAUCUUCCUGAUCCAGGGAUCAAAUCUGCAUCCCCUGUGUUGGCAGGUGGAUUGUUUACCUGCUGCUGAGCCACCGAGGAAGCUCCUUGCAGUCUUCCGCCUCACCUGUUCUCUUGUGCUUGGUCUCUCCACGGGUGGAGUCUCUGUGUGUUUUCCCCAGAGAGCGUGCAUGCCUCUGGUCUGUUUGGGGACAUGAUCGUUGCCAGCCCGGAUAGGAUUUGGGUUGCAAUAUGGGGUUUUACUGCAUUUAAUUUGCUUAUUUGUUGAAAUGAACUCAGAUAAGUUGCAGGUAGAAUAUAAAUAACUUUUAUUUCUUGAAUCUUUUGAGAUAAAGUUGUUGACAUGAAGUCUCUUCUUUGUUGAAUCUUGUAGUGCAUUUUUCCUAUAAACAGAGACGUUCUCUUGCCUGACGACAGUACAGCCAUCAGAGGCAGAAAUUUAACAUUGAUAUAUUACAGUUGUCUGAUCCUUAGGCCUCCAUUCAGCUUUCAGUCGUUGCCCCAGUGGUAUUCCUUUAUAGAAGGAUACAGUCAAUCUAGGAUCACUUAACACCUUUUGUUGUCAUGUCUCUCCAAUUCUUGAUCUACAGUAGUCCUUCAGCUGCUCUUUCUUUUAUGAUAUUGAUAUAUUUGAAGACUACAGGCCAGUUAUUUUAGAGAGUCCCUCUCAAUGUGAGUUUGUCUGAUGUUUCUUUACUAGAUGUAGGCUGAACAUCUUGGCCAGGAGUAUCAUGGAAGGGAUGCUAUGUUAAUUUCAGUGCAUUUUGUUAGAUGGUGUAUUACUGAUUUUCAGUUUGUGCUGUAAAAAAUAUUACCACAAGUUCAGUGGCUUAAAAAAACACACAUUAUGUCACAGUUCUGAGUUCAGAAGUCCAAAAUGGAUCUGCUCUGGGCUCAAGUCUUGGUGUUGGUAGGGCUGCAUCCCUCGUGGAGACUGUAAGUUCAUGUGCCUGCCCUCUCCUGGUUCUGGGGGCCAUCUGCUUUUCUUGGCUUGGGUCUCCCCCUCUUUGCACAACUGGCCACUGUGGACCUCGCGCACCUGUGCUGCCGUCUCUCUCCUUCCUGCUUUCACUCUGGAGGGGUUUUGUGAUUUCACUGGGCCCACUGGGGUCAUUGAGGUUAGUCUCAAUUUUAAAGUUAUGUGAUUGGCAAAUUUAAUUUUCUGUGCAGCCGUGAUUCCCCUUUGCUAUGUAAAGGAACGCGUUCACAGGUGCCGAGGGUCAGGUUGUGGAGCACGCUUGGGCGGGGUGGUACCGUGCCUACUGCCGGGGGCAUAUGAUUUCCGUUGGUACCAUUAUUGAUAACAUUCACUUUGAUUACUUGAUUAUGGUGGUGCCUUCAGACUCCUCCAUUUUAAAGUUACUUUUCCUCCCUUUUUGUAAUAAGUAUUUUGUACAGAGAUACUUUGCGACUGUGUAAAAUAUUGUCGGUUACCGACUUUUAACGUGUUUACUUGUUUUGUAUCACUGUGGGUACCUGAUUUUCUGUUUCAUGCAGUGGGUUGUAAUCUAUUACUGCAUUGAUUUUGGUGCUUCACUUGCCCCAGAUUUCGCCAGGUUGACUUCUGUGUCCUUUUAGCCUAUCUCUGUCAUUUUUUGGAGCUCUUCCAAGCUUAUCUUAAACUUUUGUCUCAGCCUUGGAGUAGGCCAUUUUUCCAAGAAGCCCCUUCCCCCCUAAAAAGUCUUUAUUUUGAAAUGAUUAUUUCACAUUUCAAAACUCAUAGGAAGUUGCAAGGAUGCCCCGUCAGCUUCCUUUGGUGGAAUUUGUGUAGCCUUAGCACAGUAUCAAAAUCUGGGCAUCUGAUAUAUCUGGUACAUUUCUGGUAAAUGCAUGCCUUAUUUCUUUAGUUUUUAAACUUGCAUUUGUGUGUGUGAGCAUAGUCUUUUGUAACUUUUCUGUUCCUUGUAUAGAUUUGGGUAAGCUAGUCCUACAGUCAAAGAGAGCUGUUCUAUCACUUUAGAAGAACGCUUUUUGCUACCUGUUUGUAUUCCCAAUACCCCCUCCACCGUUUUGUUUAUUCUCCGUGUUUGUAGUUUUGUCACUUCAGUGUGUGAGAUGAGUGGAAUCAUACAGUAUGUAACCUUUCUAAGAUCAGCCUUUUUCACAAAGCGUAAUGCCUUGAGGUCCGUUUGGUGUUGUGCACAGCAGUAGUUAAUCUUUCUUAUUGCUGAGUAGGGUUCUGUUGUAUGCUUGUACCAAGUUUGUUAAACCAUUCAACUAUUGAAGGGCAUUUGGAUUGUUUCGAGUAUUUUGUAUGAUAUUGUGAAUAAAGCUGCUGUGAAUGUCUGUGACAGAUGUCUGUGCGGCGUCCUCUGCGUCAGGGGGUGGGGUCUGCGCGUGCUGCUGGGCCCCAUGCUGGGCGUGUGUGCAGUCCUCUAGGCACCCCCAGAGUCUCCCCGUGGUGUGUGUGCCCGCUGUGUUCUCAGCAGCGCCGCACGAGGGGCC
ensembl:lncRNA